rnacentral:rRNA from 1 species
GACGAACGCUGGCGGCGCGCCUAACACAUGCAAGUCGAACGAGCGAGAGAGAGUUUACUUUUUCGAGCGAGUGGCGAACGGGUGAGUAACGCGUGAGCAACCUGCCUUUCAGUGGGGGACAACAGUUGGAAACGACUGCUAAUACCGCAUGAAGCAUAAUGAUCGCAUGGUCGAUAUGCCAAAGAUUUAUUGCUGAAAGAUGGGCUCGCGUCUGAUUAGAUAGUUGGCGGUGUAACGGACCACCAAGACGACGAUCAGUAGCCGGCUUGAGAGAGUGAACGGCCACAUUGGGACUGAGACACGGCCCAAACUCCUACGGGAGGCAGCAGUGGGGAAUAUUGCACAAUGGGGGAAACCCUGAUGCAGCAACGCCGCGUGAGUGAAGAAGUAUUUCGGUAUGUAAAAGCUCUAUCAGCAGGGAAGAAAAUGACGGUACCUGACUAAGAAGCCCCGGCUAACUACGUGCCAGCAGCCGC